GAUGAACGCUGGCGGCGUGCUUAACACAUGCAAGUCGAACGAUGAAGCUGGAGCUUGCUCUGGUGGAUUAGUGGCGAACGGGUGAGUAACACGUGAGCAACCUGCCCCUGACUCUGGGAUAACAGCCGGAGACGGCUGCUAAUACCGGAUAUGCACCAUGAACGCAUGUUCUGUGGUGGGAAAGAUUUUUCGGUUGGGGAUGGGCUCGCGGCCUAUCAGCUUGUUGGUGAGGUAAUGGCUCACCAAGGCGUCGACGGGUAGCCGGCCUGAGAGGGUGACCGGCCAAACUGGGACUGAGACACGGCCCAGACUCCUACGGGAGGCAGCAGUGGGGAAUAUUGCACAAUGGGCGAAAGCCUGAUGCAGCAACGCCGCGUGAGGGAUGACGGCCUUCGGGUUGUAAACCUCUUUUAGCAGGGAAGAAGCGAGAGUGACGGUACCUGCAGAAAAAGCGCCGGCUAACUACGUG
rnacentral:rRNA from 1 species